rnacentral:lncRNA from 1 species
AUGAUGACUUUGAAUGGGAAACCGGUGGCCGUCUAUUUAAAAUGGGGGAGGGCGUUCCGUAAGAUCAAAUGCGCUUUAUUGGAUGAUUUUUUUUUUAACAGUGCAGUGGUGUUCUCUUUAAUAAGGAGAUUGACAAAUCUUACAGAGGGAGAGAGAGAUUUGACACAGCAGCUUAAGGAGAUGUCGUUAGCAAAACACAAGCCGAGCAGAAUAAGUGGCUUCUUCCAGAAAGCAAUGAUUCCCCCAUCUGAUCUCUUUUCACAGCUCAUUAAUUCUCCGGGCAUCAGAGAAAGGUGUUUCCCAAUUAUCCUGCCACAGGAGACCAUUGCUGGUGGAGAGAAGCCCACGUUCCGCAGCACGGCACAGAAACUGGUGAUCCGAAGAGGCCCGGGUCAGCUAAUCAGGAGCCUGUGUGCGUCAACACAUGCCACACCCGCCUCGCUGCAAGGCCGUCUACACCGCCUGCCCUCUCUUCUACACGUCUAGACUGGAACAGGAAAGCCCUCCGGAGGCACCCUCUUCACGGCUCUGCUCUGCUCUUGUCUUAAGGUGCCCGGGCUCCCCGAGUCUUGCACUGAUCACCCUCACCCUGCGCCCCGGGGCCUCACCUGGGCUAUCCGGGCCCAGCCUGCGGGGAGGAGUCCUGGAGGCUUCACAGCUGGGUUUGGGGGCCCGGCCAGCCUGGGGGGGACCCCCCUGCUGGGCCUCACAUGCACCUCCUGCAGACGGGGGCGCUGAGCCUGACCUCAGGUUCCCUCGGCAAUGAUGGGUGAUCAUGCUUAUUUUGAAAAUUGAGCCGUUUGCUCUGUGUUUCUCCCCGCCCCGGGACAGGCUCAUCCUGCACCCCCCCCCCCCCCCCGCCCCAGCUUCCUCCCUGGAUCUCACCCCAGGCCGAGGCCGCCAGAGAGCCCUGGGGAAGGAGACGGGUCUUUUCAGAGUCUGGGGCCACCAGGACUGGACGGGAAGCGGUGCUGGGUCCCCCCUUGGCUGAGAGGGGGUGAGGGCCCCUGUGCUUGGGCGCGUUGCAGCCGGCUGCUUUCUGCGGGGCACCCCAGGGAGGCCUGGUGGGCUGCCCUUGACACGCAGGACACAGCAGAGGAGACAACAUGCUCCGCAGAUGACAACCGACCAUUGACUAAGGGCCUUGUCGUCCCGAGCCGAGGGGAACCGCCCGCAGAAUCUGCACCACAGCCCGCCA